ACAAAACUACGAUUGAUGGCGCAGUUACCGGUGUGUUUACCGGUUGAGUUGUUGUACGUUGUUUGACACGAUAAAUUUUGAUUUAUUUUAUUUUUGUUACAUACCUUUUACUGCUAUUGGACACACAUAGAUCUCCCUGUGUUACUUGUUGCGGAACAGUAAAAGGAAAUUAUUUUGUGUGUUUCAUCACUGGUAUUGCGACGCAUCUAUUUCGUAACCGUAUUGUAUGCAGAAACUGGCAGUGACGCAGUUGAUCUGAGAGAAGAAGUAGCCUUUGCCCGAGAGGGUCAAACCGACAAUUUCACCUGUGACAAACUGAAAUUAUAACAGUUAAGUUUAUAAUAAGGAAAAUAUCUUCCGAUGUUUAAUUAUUUUGACCUUGUUUACAUUAAGUUUUAUCGUUAAAAAAAUGUCAACCUUUUGCUUAAUGGUCAAAGUACGUUUGCAAAAUAAUGAUUUGAUCUCUGUAACUCGAACGAUCAGGAACGAUUUGUUGGAACUCCAUCGGCAUCGUGAACUUCUCAGAAAGACUAUUAAAAGUUAAAAUGGAAACAUAAACAUGAUGUGAAAACUCCAGAAAAUUACAAAUGGCGACAGUUGGAAGCAAUUUGGCAAAGGAGAGAAGAGUAGAAUUCUGUACAUCAAGUGUUUUAGCGGACAAGUACAACAUAAAAUUAAUCAAUGUAGAGCAAAAUAUGGAUCAACGACAGUGAAGAAAUCUCUGGACUGUGCAGACCACCACAGCGAAAUGAAACAAGCUCGGGUAAGAUUGCUUACACUAAAGCUCGUAAUGUUUCUGUCGGGUCCCUUGGAAAGCUCCGGAUGGAACUUGGGAGUAGGCCGAGUACCACGCUGGGUUCACAUGGGACAAGCUUGUGAACACAGCUGGUGGUAUCUCAGUGUAACCCCAAAAUGGACAUCACCUUACACCUUACUGGAAGCCUUAAUUCAAAUAAUCUUCAUUGUAUAGUCCUCAAACAUAACGGAAUGUUGUAAUGACUUGUGGUAUCAAGAGAACACUGUUUAACCGUGAAGUUAAAACCCUUAAUAGAUAAGUUACAAGUAAUUCUGCAGUUUUUUUGUAAUGUUGAACUACGUUAGUCAGAGACAACUGACGAUAUAUGGAGAACAACUAGUGUAUAGCUAUGUAUACGGUACCAUUUUUUCGCCACAUUUAUUUUAUUAAUAUUUAAUUUCUUAAAUUUCGACCGUAAUCAGUGGCAUCUUAAGGCACGGGCUAACUGGGCUGUAGCCCAAGGCCCCGAACCUUCCAGGGGCAUCCAUCCCAAAUAUAUUGUCUGUAUUUAUUUUUUAUUUUUAAGUGUGGAUUGGGACACAAUUCACACUUAGCCCAGAUCCCUCCUAAUUUUAUUCCACUCACCCAAUGUCUCACUUUUUGUAAGAGACAUUGAACGUUAAUGUUAUACAACUAUAGGAUAUGAAUGUUAUACAACUAUAGGAUAUGAAUGUUAUACAACUAUAUUAUAUAUGAUCAAAUCUCAAGCGCUGUUGCGAAGUUACACACAAAACACAAGACGGUAUACAGUUUUGGUGGAAGGAUGACAUACGUCACAGUCUCCGUUUUGACAAGGAAUUACAUUUAUUGAGUCGAUUCAAGUAUGAGCUUUUAAGUUUUAGUUUCAGUUUGGCCGUACUAAGUAGAACAUACAAUCCAACUUUACUCGGGGAACUAAUCGAAAAACAAGUUUCACGUAUCGGUUAUCAAGGGAUUUGUGAUAUACUGGCAUGGAACGGAGAAGAGUCGCCAAGAUUUGUGAUAUACUGGCAUGGAACGGAGAAGAGUCGCCAAGAUUUGUGAUAUACUGGCAUGGAACGGAGAAGAAUCGCCAAGAUUUGUGAUAUACUGGCAUGGAACGGAGAAGAGUCGCCAAGAUUUGUGAUAUACUGGCAUGGAACGGAGAAGAAUCGCCAAGAUUUCGGGUUAUCAAGUGAUUUGUGAUAUACUGGCAUGGAACGGAGAAGAAUCGCUAAAAAGGGGGAUAGGGGCACAGCCUCCCGGACACUGCGAUUAUAGACAAAGCUACCUCCUAAUCUGAAUUUAAGUUUGAAAUCAUUUUUGGGGGAUAAAAACCUACGCAAAUGGAUAUUGUACAUUAAGAGCGCCACGCCCUUGAGCAAUGUUUAACCUUGACAACUUAGGUGUUAUUAUGCUAUUCAUGAUGUUGUUUUUGCUGCGCAAAGCUACACAAAUGGCGAUCUACACCUCGCAGAGACUCGAACCGCGGAUUUAGCGUCGUAAGACUGUAAACUUACCAUUGUCCCACGUGCGACGUGCUGAUCAUAGAGGUUCGUGACCACUUCAGAGGAGUAAGUUAUCGCCUCCAGUUGUUUGUUUGUUAGUUUUAGAAUAUCGCACAAAACCGCAUAAGCCGUGUAGAUCUCUCUUGUUCAGUAAAUUUUACACUUACAUUGUAGUUUGUACCCUAGUUGUAUUUGUCUACGUGUAGUCGUCCUUGAAUUUGAACUGUUAGGUUACAGAAAAGGUAGUCAACAGUACUGAAUCUUGUGUAGCCGAAUAGUAUAAUGCAAUUGUCACUCAUAUAGCUCACUCAUGGUCCCUAAGGUGCGGAGCUCGUUUAUUUUUAUUUAUUUUUUUGCGGCAACGGAACGCAAACCAUGAACCCUCGGACUCACAGUCCAGGCAAUCUAACCACUAGGCCACGCGUGGUCUAUUGAAACAGUGAAUGGCAGGGGACGUUUUAGGCUUAAGUAUCCAUAUCUAGUGAUAGUGUUUAGAUUUUAUUCACAUACGAAGCUUGCAAAAAAAAGGGGUUAAAUCUGGUAGGUGGCGUAUCCCUGCCACUAGGUGAGUCCUAGUUAUUCAAAUAUCUCUCUUGUCGGGUACAUUUAACACUCUUAAAUAGAAAUAUCAUGUUUCUCUGUUUUAUACGAAAUGAUUUUUGUUUUGGUGUUGCUGUCUUCAAACUGCUUUAAAACAUUAUAGUUCGUAUUCUGGUUUUGUUAUUUUUCAGCGCAAAGCUAAACAAUGGGAUAUCUGUGCUCUACUCACUGCGGGUAUCGAAACCAGAAUUUUAGAGUCAGAAGCGUGCAGACUUACCGCUGAUCCACAGGGGGAGGGGGCUGUGUUAUAUGAAUAAUAAAUGUAUAAAUCAGAGGUGGGGUUGAAGUGUUUAGUAAGUAGUUUAUCCUAAAUUCUUGAUUUAACGAUAGUGAAUUGGGUUUUGUUUAUUAAGUUUACCUUUUCCUCAUGAAAUUACUAAUGCAUGUGACAAAGAAUAACCUUCAUUAAGUUUUAUUAUACCAUAAGUGUCAAAUUGAAAAUUUCCACUUGUGAUUUUUAAUAUUAGUUUCUAUUAGAAGGAUGUUAUGUUUUGGCAGGUCUCUCAUCACCAUAGUAACUCAGUUCUAACUAUAACUAUAUUUAUUGCAGGUCUAGAUAGGCUUUUCAUCGUAAUAAUCAUACAACUCGUAUUAAUGUUAGGUUUAAAUAGGUUUUUCGUCCCCCAUAGUAACAUGUCUCGUACUGUAUGAAUGUUAGAUAAGUCAUUUAUCACCAUAGUAACCCAGUUCUUACUAUAACAAUGACAGACUCAGUUCUUACUAUAAGAAUGAUAAGUUUAAAUAGGUCUCUCAUCACCAUAGUAACUCAGUUCUUACUAUAUAAACGAUAGGUUUAAAUAGGUCUCCCAUCAUCAUAGUAACUCAGUUCUUACUAUAUAAACGAUAGGUUUAAAUAGGUCCCAUCACGAUAGUAACUCAGUUCUUACUAUAUAAACGAUAGGUCCCAUCACCAUAGUAACACAGUUCUUACUAUAUGAAUGCGUUACUCAUUUCCUAUUAUACUGUGGUUAGCCUUACAUAGGCCUCUUUUCCAGUUUGUUAGGUUUAAAUACGCCUGUUUCUCUGCGUGUCACUCAGUUCUUGCUAUACGGUUGUAAGGUUUAAAUAGACCUGUCUACCAGUGUGUCACUCAGUUCUUGCUAUACGGUUGUUAGGUUUAAAUAGACCUGUCUACCAGUGUGUCACUCAGUUCUUGCUAUACGGUUGUUAGGUUUAAAUAGACCUGUCUACCUUGUAUGUCACUCAGUUCUUACUAUACGGUUGUUACGUCUAAAUAGUUCUAACUCUGAAAGUAUCACUCAUCAGAAAAUAUGUAAUUAUCAGAUUUUAGUGGAUAAUUAGAAUAAAUUUAUUCAGAUCCAGGAAACUUAGUUAUUAACAUUUUAUUAAUACAUUGAUUCGUGCCUGGACUUAGAGUGAUUGAUAAUAGUAGAACUAACAAUGAGAAUAUAACAAUAGUCUUGUAUUUGUUUUGUUUGCCUCUUUGGUAUCGAAACCCGGUUUUAGCAUCAUAAGUAGCGCUGCCACUAGGAAGCUAAUAGUCGUGUAAAAACGAAUAUGAUGUAUGGUUUGUGACAUAACAGAACGAAUUUUGUAUAAACUACGAAACCUGCCCUCUGCAUGGUUGUACUGAAGGUGGUAAGUUUGUGGCAUAACAACAGAACGAAUUUUGUAUAAACUACGAAACCUGCCCUCUGCAUGGUUGUACUGAAGGUGGUAAGUUUGUGGCAUAACAACAGAUUUUUUGUAGAGAUUCUGAAACCUGCUUUCUCAUUUCUAAUAGCAUUUAGUCUGCAUGGUUGUACUGAAUGUGGUAAGUUUGUGGCAUAACAACAGAUUAUUUGUAGAGAUUCUGAAACCUGCUUUCUCAUUUCUAACAGCAUUUAGUCUGCAUGCUUGUUCCAAAGGUGAUAAGUUUGUGGCAUAACAACAGAUUUUUGUAGAGAUUCUGAAACCUGCUCUCUUCUUUUUACUGUAUGUUGCAUGCGAUCUUGACUUCUUUAUCUACGUUCCAGUAAUGCAUUUGCACGUUUACUCUCCAACUGUAAAUGCAUUCUCUGGGAUGCUAGAUAUAGUUGUAUUUCCUCAACUUCUAUCCAAACACGUGCAUGGAAAAAUUUAAUGUUUCUUCAGAUUCAGAUCUUAUUACGUCCAGACUCCAUCCGAACAGGAACAUGGACCACUAAUUCUUCAUAUUCUGACUGUAUUCACCCCCCACUUUGCAUCUGAGCACGUGUAUAGGUCGCCCAAAAUGAUUUUUAGUUUCUUUAAUCUCUAAAAAAAAAACUAUUUUCUUCUAUCUAUAUCUGUAUAUGAACUGAAGUUAUUAUAUUGUUUUCUGUGUUUGCUAUUUCUAACAAUCACGAAAUCGCCUUUAACAUUUUUUCUCAAGCCUUGUGUUUUUUUUUCUUAAUAUUUAUUUUCAAGUAUUUCGGUAUAAGUUCGAUAUUUAACAUACAAGCAGGUAUGUACGAUCUGUCCAUGUACUGUUCCGUAUUUAUACACGUAUAAUAAUAGAAUAAAUAAAUGAAGUUUGUUUUCUAACUUAUUAUCGAGUUUGCUCCGAUGUAACUACUAUUAUCAUUCGAAUUUCUUCAAGUUUGAAGAUAUAAAUCCUUAUGUGUCACUACUCCGCCUUCAUACAUACGUGUGAAUUACAAUACUAUUUCCUUAUGUGUCACUACUCCGCCUUCAUACAUACGUGUGAAUUACAAUACUAUUUCCUUAUGUGUCACUACUCCGCCUUCUUACAUACGUGUGAAUUACAAUACUAUUUCCUUAUGUGUCACUACUCCGCCUUCGUACAUACGUGUGAAUUACAAUACUAUUUCCUCGGAAACUCACGACGAUUUUAGUACGUUUACAGUACACGUGCUAACAAAAUGAAAUACAAUUCGUUCCCUCAGUCUGAAACUUAUUAACCUUAUAAAUGUUUGAAGUUAUUUAACUUAUGACGAAUGUUUUCCAUUUUGUAUUUAGUUUAUUUUAGUUGUUUUAGCGCAAAAACCACGCAAUGGGCUAUAUGCAUUUUGUUCACUGCGAGGAAUCGUACCCUGGAUUUUAGCAUUGUAUGUCCGUAAACUUACCACAGACUUAAUGGGGGCUUCAUCGGCGGGACAGAGGCAAGUUCACGGACUUACAACGCUAAAAUUAGGGGUUUGAUUCUCCGUAAUGGACACUGCAGAUAGUCCAAUGCGGCUUUACCCGAAAACAGACAUGCGUACAAACCCACCGGGGAAAUGUUCAUUGAUCAUCACAAUUAUCCUAAAGACUGGUUGAAACGUGGUAGAUCUAAACGGAUAACAUUUUCCGAGUGGUAGGCUUUUCUAAUCAAAUUGUUUUAAAAAUAAACAGAGUUGAAAAACGAAGAGUGAGAAAUAAAAAAAAAAACUAGGCCAUCUCAUACAACACCCGAUUUUCCGAAACACGUGUAAAACUGGAGCGUCAAAAAGUAUUAGAUGAUAGGAAAACCUACAAGAAUUUCAAAAUAAUGCUGUUGGUUUUGACGAAAAGAAAU